rnacentral:misc_RNA from 1 species
GAUGAAGAACGCAGCGAAAUGCGAAAAGUAAUGUGAAUUGCAGAAUUCAGUGAACCAUCGAAUCUUUGAACGCACAUUGCGCCCGCUGGAACUCCGGCGGGCACGCCUGUCCGAGCGUCAUUUCAACCCUCAGGCCCCCCUUCGCGGGCGGGCCUGGUGUUGGGGCCCGGCCGCUACCCUGCGGCCGUCCCCUAAAUUCAGUGGCGGCCUCGCCGUGAUCCCUUGCGUAGUAAUGCACCUCGCACCGGAGAGCGCUGUGGCCACGCCGUAAAACCCCCAAUUUUCAAUGGUUGACCUCGGAUCAGGUGGGAAUACCCGCUGAACUUAAGCAUAUCAAUAAGCGGAGGA